GUAGGAGGCGAGCGUUGUCCGGAAUCAUUGGGCGUAAAGAGCGCGCAGGCGGCUUGGCAAGUCGUGUGUGAAAUCCCGGGGCUCAACCCCGUGACUGCAUCCGAUACUGUCAGGCUAGAGGUAGGUAGGGGAGAUCGGAAUUCCUGGUGUAGCGGUGAAAUGCGCAGAUAUCAGGAGGAACACCGGUGGCGAAGGCGGAUCUCUGGGCCUUACCUGACGCUCAGGCGCAAAAGCUAGGGGAGCGAACAGGAUUAGAUACCCUGGUAGUCCUAGCCGUAAACGUUGGGUGCUAGGUGUGGGCGGAUAUCAACCCCGUCCGUGCCGAAGCUAACGCAUUAAGCACCCCGCCUGGGGAGUACGGUCGCAAGACUG
rnacentral:rRNA from 1 species